rnacentral:piRNA from 1 species
UACCCUCGAGCAAUGCAUCGCGCCGCCA